AUAAUUUGGUAUUUAGAAUUACUAAUUUGGUAUUUUAGUGACAAACUGUUGUAUGGAAUUUAGGAGAACGCGUUCCCAAGCUAUAUAUUAUAUGUAUUUCAUUCUUUCAUAUGUUAUAUUAUGAAUUGUUAUAAAAAAGACCAAUGAGCAACGGUUUAAGGUUUAAUCAGUAAUCGAUCCGACCAAUCAUAUACAAGUUCCUAACACAUCUUCUAACUACUGAGUAAAAUAGUAAUGCUAUUACAAAGGUUUUUUCUUUUCAAAAUACAGCCUAAUGCUACUACAAAAUUCUAAUGUUAUAAAAUAAUCAUAGGAGAAGUAAACCCCGGGUUCAAAAAGAGAGAGGAUAGGUCUUCUUCUUCUGUAAUUUGCUGGGACCGCAAGUCAUGUGAGGCUGCUCUGCUGAUGCUGCACGGCGUCGCAACUCUCUCAAUAAAUUCUUUUAACUAACGCUCCAAUUUUCGAUGUAAAUUGGCUGACUUCAAUUCUAUGCCUUACUCUUGUACUCUAUGUUUCUUUAUCUAUUAAAAUCCAACUCUGCUUUUGAACCCAAAAAACAAAACAAAAACCAACUCUGCUGAAUCAUGAAACACGUCCUUGAUCUUUAUUUUUAUUUUUUCCCAAUAUAUGCUC